UACGUAGGGUGCGAGCGUUGUCCGGAAUUAUUGGGCGUAAAGAGCUCGUAGGCGGUCCAUCGCGUCGAAUGUAGAAAUCCCGGGGCUCAACUCCGGGCCUGCAUUCGAUACGGGUGGGCUAGAGUUCGGUAGGGGAGACUGGAAUUCCUGGUGUAGCGGUGAAAUGCGCAGAUAUCAGGAGGAACACCGGUGGCGAAGGCGGGUCUCUGGGCCGAUACUGACGCUGAGGAGCGAAAGCGUGGGGGAGCGAACAGG
rnacentral:rRNA from 1 species